rnacentral:ncRNA from 1 species
UGGUCCUAGCCUUGUAAUCAAUUGUUACUUAACUUAUACAUGCAAGUCUCCGCACCCCUGUGAGAACGCCCUUUAUCUUCUACUCGAAGCAAGGAGCUGGUAUCAGGCACAACUAUUAGCCCAAGACACCUAGCCACGCCACAUCCACAAGGAAAUUCAGCAGUAAUUAACAUUGAGUAUAAGCGCCAGCUUGACUCAGUUAAAGUAAAAAGAGCCGGCAAAUAUGGUGCCAGCCGCCGCGGUUACACCACGAGGCUCAAUUUGAUUAUUUUCGGCGUAAAGCGUGAUUAAAGUCAUCUAAUAACUAUAGUUGUAUUUUGACUAAGCUGUGACACGCUUGUUCACAAGAAAUCCAAAAACGAAAGUUACUAUAUUUACACCAACUUGAACCCACGACAGCUGAGAUACAAACUGGGAUUAGAUACCCCACUAUGCUCAGCCGUAAACUUUAAAUUACAUUCGUAUCGCCUGGGAACUACGAGCCAAGCUUAAAACCCAAGGGACUUGACGGUACCCCAUAUCCACCUAGAGGAGCCUGUCCUAUAAUCGAUAACCCCCGCUUAACCUCACCAUUUCUAGCUAUAUCAGCCUGUAUACCUCCGUCGUCAGCUUACCCCGUGAGCGAAAUUUAGUGAGCUCAAUGUCUCUACAUCAAUACGUCAGGUCAAGGUGCAGUAAAUGAAGUGGGAAGAGAUGGGCUACACUCUCUAAUUUAGAAUAUACGAAAGACUACAUAUGAAAUUCUAGUCAGAAGGCGGAUUUAGCAGUAAAAAGAAAUCAUAGUGUUCUUUUUAACCCGGCACUGGGGUGUGUACACACCGCCCGUCACCCUCUUCAAAGCCCAAUAUCAGUAAUUAACUAAAAUCAGCAAAUCAGAAGAGGCAAGUCGUAACAUGGUAAGCGUA